CAGUCGCCGCGGUAAUACAGAGGGUGCGAGCGUUAAUCGGAUUUACUGGGCGUAAAGCGUGCGUAGGCGGCUAAUUGAGUCGGAUGUGAAAUCCCCGAGCUUAACUUGGGAAUUGCAUUCGAUACUGGUUAGCUAGAGUGUGGGAGAGGAUGGUAGAAUUCCAGGUGUAGCGGUGAAAUGCGUAGAGAUCUGGAGGAAUACCGAUGGCGAAGGCAGCCAUCUGGCCUAACACUGACGCUGAGGUACGAAAGCAUGGGGAGCAAACAGGAUUAGAUACCCCAGUAGUCCCUGCCUCUUAUAC
rnacentral:rRNA from 1 species